UACGUAGGGUGCGAGCGUUGUCCGGAAUUAUUGGGCGUAAAGGGCUCGUAGGCGGUCUGUUGCGUCAGGAGUGAAAACUCGGGGCUUAACCCCGAGCCUGCUUCUGAUACGGGCAGACUAGAGGUAUGCAGGGGAGAACGGAAUUCCUGGUGUAGCGGUGAAAUGCGCAGAUAUCAGGAGGAACACCGAUGGCGAAGGCAGGUCUCUGGGCCACUACUGACGCUGAGAAGCGAAAGCGUGGGGAGCGAACAGG
rnacentral:rRNA from 1 species